rnacentral:rRNA from 1 species
GUAGGUGGCAAGCGUUGUCCGGAAUUAUUGGGCGUAAAGCGCGCGCAGGUGGGUUCUUUAAGUCUGAUGUGAAAGCCCCCGGGCUCAACCGGGGAGGGUCAUUGGAAACUGGGGAACUUGAGUGCAGGAGAGGAAAGUGGAAUUCCACGUGUAGCGGUGAAAUGCGUAGAUAUGUGGAGGAACACCAGUGGCGAAGGCGACUUUCUGGCCUGUAACUGACACUGAGGCGCGGAAGCGUGGGGAGCAAACAGGAUUAGAUACCCUGGUAGUCCACGCCGUAAACGAUGAGUGCUAAGUGUUGGGGGGUUUCCGCCCCUCAGUGCUGCAGCUAACGCAUUAAGCACUCCGCCUGGGGAGUACGGUCGCAAGACUG